UUGCCACCCAGAUCACGAGUUAAAGGACCCUAUGUCUCCUUAGGAAGGAAGCGGUUUGAUACCUCUUCACUGCAAUGGCCAAGUUUUCCAUUUCUGUGCUCUGGAGUUUGAUCUCACGGAGAAAGUUCCUUAUCACACGUUCAUAUGGCUGGAUUAGUCUUGGCUCCACAAGGUUGAUGUUCUGGUACAGGGUGCUAACUUGUUCUUUUCUGCCAAAAAUAUGAAAAUUAAAUGGUAUCAGUUUAAAAACUACAACAGAAAACGUAUAGGAAAGAGAAAGACCACUAAGAGAAAAACAAGAAAGGUAUAAAAACCCAUAGACUGACCCAGAACGAAGAGAACAGACGAGGCAGAGAGCCUGUUGUGCUUCCCAUGUUGGAAGAUGGCUACCUGGAACACCAGUGUAAGGGCAGUGGAAGAAACUUAGAAUGAAAAGUCUUCAUUGUAUUUGUUAAAAAUUGAUUGUAAAGAACUUCAGAGAAAGGCACCAAUUAGAUGUUCAUCAUUUUCAUUCAGUUAAUAGCUACUGAAAGCUGGCACAAACUCCCAGGCUAAGGGCUCUGAUCCACACUGCUGCUCCACUUCAGAUGCCAGGUGUCCUGAAAAGAACAUCAGACAUGAAUUGACUUUAAAAAAGGAAACCAGGGCCAGACAAUGUUGGUGCUCACCUUCAAUCCCAGCACUUGGGAGGCAGAGACAGGAGGAUUUCUGUGUUCAAAGCCAGCCAGGUCUACAGAGUGAAUUCUAGGACAACCAUGGCUACA